rnacentral:tRNA from 1 species
GCGGAUAUGGUGGAAUUGGUAGACACGCACGUUUGAGGGGCGUGUAGAUUAACUGUGCGAGUUCAAAUCUCGCUAUCCGCA